UUUUAAGGCGCAGCCGAAGUGGGUUACUGCAGAGUGUCCGUAACGUUUCUCAUGAUGAAAAUAUAAAGGUGAUUUAGCAUGUAAAUACUACUUUGCCAAAUCAUCUAAACUUCUAGUUGAAAGCGCCUGUACAUUUUGCCGAAAUGUCGUGCCUUUUUUGGCUGUCCUUGUAUGUCUUACUGCCUGUAGAUUCAACAAUACGUAAUCUAGCCUGUAAAUUUUACUUGUCGAAGUAAUCUGAGCACCGUGGGCCAAAACUGCUCUCCAUUUGGCCGAAACUUCGUCUAUUCUCUAUUGCUAUCUGUACGGAUUGGUUGCAAAUCUCAUCCCAUGCAGAUACUUUGGAUUAAUGAAAGUAGUAGUUUGCUGAUCUAUGGAUUAAUUUGAGAACAGGGGUAAGUCUGAGCUUUGUUGCUAUCGCAUGUGGUUUUGUUUCAGCUGGUGAAAGGGGUGACUAGUCAAGUUGAGCUGCAGCAUGCAGUCUGUUAUCUGCUGAUGUUAUCAUAAAAUGUCACGAGAUGAACUCUGAUCAGAUGUAAAAAAUUAGUGAUAUGGCUUUCUUUUACAUGUGGACCACAGCAUUAGCAGAAUAAUAUUUGGCUUCUCAUGUCAGACAAUUCCAAACUCAGGGAAGAAGUUUAUAAAAAGCAGACACACUCUACCAAUGUGUUCAACAGGAUCAGAAGUAACAUCAGUGAUGCCAAGAAUCUUUAAGGACUUGAAAAAGGUUUCUCAUUUUACAGUCAUGGUGAUCCUAAAGAAGAUGACAAUUAAGAAGUUUUAGUUUUUUAUGCAGAGACAAAUGAUGGUGUUAAUGGCUGAAAACAAUGGGAUGUACAUGGCUCAUUUUAUUGUCACUCUGGGUGGUGGACAUGUUAUAAAAUGUUUCCACAAUAAUGCAGUCAACUAUUAUCAAUUUGAUUACUAGAUGACCUGUUUAUUUCUUCCUUUUAUACUCCAUCAUUUGGGUUUAUUGUGAUGAACUGACAGAUGGAUGGUGGAAGCAUAGUUUGAUAUAGGGAUCCAUUCUUUCAUGGUUUCGAUUCGGACUAGCCCGGUGCAUCAGUGGGCCCUCUUCCGACAAACCCAGAUCAGGUUCAUUAUCAAUGAUAUUUUCGAAUUUUAUUAGAAAAUGACUAAUUGGCUUUCUUUUGUGAACAUAUGUUGGAGAUGGACCGGAAAUUCCAGAAUCGGAUGAGAUUUACGGCGGUGACAGUAGAACAGGAUGCAUAUUCGGAAGUCAUGGGCUGGCUGAUGGGCCCGCAACACGUCCAGUAGCCACAUCAAGACUCGGAGACGUACGUCGGCCGUCUUGACUGAGUUGAUACCUGGACGCAUCCCGACUCUUCACUCGCUUCGACGACGACAAAGAAUUUUUCCGGUUCUAAUUUUUAUGUAGUGAAGCAGGAGCGAUAACUGGGAGCAGCUGCUGAAUGAUUCUGGAACCACGAACAUACUCGUCCGUUUGGUGCGCCAAUUCGCCAAUUACUUGUUUGGUCGUUUACAUCGCAACCGACUCUAACAUCACGGCAAUGAAUCGAAACUAGGACGCUAUUUUGUUGCCGGGAGUAAUCAAAGAUAUCCCAUCGGUGCUGGAUUGUGGAUCGAAUCAUUCGUUCGGCUGAAGAAUAACUCGAUUCUCUCGGAUGACCUGGCGCAACAACUCACAGAUCUCGUUCGGGAUCAACUCGCUUAUUCAAUCCCGCUAUUUGGGGAUCCAGCGAAGAAAACUUUAACUCCUCGGAUGAAUUUUUCAGUGUCGUACCAAAUGAGAUCGUUGUCCACCAUUAAACAACGGAUGCCACUGCUUCUAGGUAAUCUGCUGGACCGUAUUCCGGCUUAAAAGAUUCAUUUAAUAUUUUUGAUUGUUUGAAAUUGCCGUGAACUUGUUUAUUGGUUUUUUGUUUGUUUUCUGCAAUUCGUCUUGUUGUGGAGCGCCUAGAGUAGCAUAUCCAUAUCUGAGUAAGUGUCUUACAGUUUGCGUAUUGGUCCAGUCGAAGGUUCUGGAGAAAGUCUAAUUGGCGGCGA